AUUAUACCUAAUCUUCACUACGUACUGUCAUUAAAUAAUUAAACCCAAAAGAAAAAUGUAAAUGAGUAGAUACUGUUUGUUUUGUUAAGAAAUUGGGUAUUCGUAUAUAAUUGAAUUUAAUUGGCCACCAUGGCUGGUUUUGGUGUGGGUGAAGGCAGAGCCUCGUAAACAGGAACACCCAUAUUUUGAGGUGACAACAACUGAGCAUUUUCCGCCAUGGAAAUGGUUUUGAUUAAGUUCAACAAGAUUCUCGCCAACUCUUCUCCAUCGCUCCAUUCGUGAAUCUCUGCCUUAAUCACAAGUGGGUUUUGGCUAAUCAAGUCCCACAGUGGAAAAUUCUUCCUCGGCAUCAGAAAAUCCCCUUCUCCAAGCUUCAAACUAGGGCAGUAAUCGCCACUUCCAUCUCCUAAAUAGAUGAACUUCUUCUUCUUUCCUUCCGACAUUAAUGACGCUUGAAUCCUCUCCAUAACGAGGCCCUGAUUUUGUGAAAUGAAUAUCUCUCAGCAUACAAGAAACUGAUCAACAUAUAUGUACACUGCUGCAAAUACAGAGAUAUACAGUACCUUGCACAUGUUCGGAGGGCAAAGAUUGCAUCCGUGAGAGGAUUUUUGGAAAUCGUGGAUAGGAAAAAUCCUCAGCCUUCCUUCUUCAUCGACGUAACCUGGAUUCGUGUUGAUUUCGGAGAAGCAUUCUCUUAUUCCGAGAUGAUCUAAAAUCGUCUCGAUGAAAAACAUAUUGGCAUCACUCACAAUCCUCAAAUCACAUCUAGAAAACACAAAGUCUGAUCAGCCGCUGUAAAUCAAAACGAGAGAUAAGAAACAUAAAUACAUUCUACGAUCGCUUACCCUAGGGCGUGAGCGGCUCUAAUGGCAGGAACGACAUCGGGAUGAAUCGGAGCGCGUUUAAGAACUUCAACGAUGUCGUCAAUGGUUUUUCCUUGUGCAUGGAGCUCCGUCAUCAUCCGAUCCUGAAAAUUACAGUAUAAAUCUCCAUUCCGCUAACGAAAAUAACAGAAUGAGAAGGAAGAAAAGAUAUCAAAAUAUACCAUGAGCGAGUUCCAUGGCAUCGUAGGGAGAAGUUGGUUGAACAAAUCGGUGGCGCCGAGUUCAUCGACCACCCAAUUAUCACUAUCCAAGUCAAUGAUCGUCUUAUCGAAGUCAAAAACGACGACGAUUCCAGCCAUUUUUCAGAGGAAAACCUUAGGAAACUGUUGUGUUACGAUGCGAAGGAAAAUGUAUCUCUGCGGAAGAACAGAUUGCGGAGUGGGGGUAUUUAUAACGGGAUGUGGAGGGGAAGAAAUGAAAGGGUAGAGUUGUGGGGCGUUGGAUGAGGUGAAAUCGGGAAAUCGAACGGUGGAGGUGAAUGGAAGAGGAAUAGACGAAUAAAUAAUUGGAAUAUGAGAAUAUUCGACGCAUAUGAAACGCACUGAGCUUAUGAAUAUAAGAAUAUUCCGGAAUGAGUGCAUAUUGGUUAUUCCUAUUUCCUUCCUAUUUCUCGUGGCUGCUACACAAACAAACCUGUCCUUUUAUUCCUCCUACGUUGCUUCAUUUCCUUAUUCUAUUUUCUUUUUAAAUAAAUACAUGCAUCCAAUAUAUUAGAUUUUGACUCCUACAAUCUGUAAAACCAUCCAAAAUAACCCCAAACAAAACCACUUUAAUAUUACCAUCCAAACUCAAAAUCGCUCCAUCCAAACAUACAUUUCUCUAGGCUUUAAUACAAUAUUUUUCUUUAAUAUCAUCUUGAAUUAUUAAUUCAACCCAAAAGUUUAUUGAAUAGAAGUAUAUAUUAUGCAAAAAUUUUAAUUGAAAAUAUAUGUGUGAACCAGUUACUAUUAUAUUUUACCAUUAAAAUUACUUGAGCUAGUAACAAUAUUGGAUAUUAAUUUAAUAGGAUUCUCUAAUUAGUUAUUUGUAAAUAAAUAAAAUAAUAUAUAUAAUAUUUUUUUUAAAAAAAAAUCUUUACAUAUAUGUAACACAAAUAAUUUUAUUUAUAAUAUAGGCUAUAAAUAAUAUAUAUGUAACAACUCUAAGAUAAGUUUCUCGUACCUCCACAUAUCAUUAAUAAUUUCUCAGUAUUAAAAAAAAAAUGAGUUUGGUUAAUUUCAAAACCCAACAAAGAAGAUGAUAAUCAACACAAGGACAGAAGUGUUAGCCAUCAUGAUUUGUUUGCCACAUGUAUUUCUAUAUUAUUAAUCAUUAUUCAUACUCAAACUUAACUACGACUCUUCCCUUUUAUUAGGAAGAACCAUUUGACAUGUGUCAUGAUCAUUCAUACAAUAUUAGACCUUACCAACACACACAUAUAUAUCAUAUAGAAAACAAUGGAAUUAUGUGUAGAACAAUUCAUAAGUAUCAUAAUUGAUUAAACUGUUAUUAUUAUUUAAACAGUGAAUUAGUAUAUGAAAUGACUUAAGACAUAUCUAUGGCAACCUUUAAAAUUGUAUAUGGGAUAUUUUAUGUGUUUAAAUAAUACUACGAGGAUUAGAUUGAUAGACAAUGAAGAUUAUUAAAAUGAAGGGAUUAAGUUAGCACGUAAUUGGUCAACAAAGGAAUGUAAUAUAAUUUUUUAAUUAGUUGUCAUCAAUUGAAUAUAGAUUAUUAAUUAACUAAUUGUGUUUAUUAAUUAAUUAAUCAAUCCACAGCUGCACAUCUUGGAAUUAAAACAAACAAAAAAAAAGUGGAAGUAUUGUUUUGAAUAUUGUUCUUCCACGUUAUUGAUUCAAAAUUCUCUUCAAAAAGUGAAAAAUAAAUUUGGUUUUACCCAAAGUUUUAGAAGAAACUAGAUGAUAAUAAAAAGGGGAGAUGUAUUAUAAACAUGUGUUCUUGGUUUUUUCAGCUUCAUAUUCGGAAGCAAUUGGUGUGAUUAGAAAAUAAUCACGUUUUUUUAUUCAAUUAAUUAGUGUAAAUAGUUUUUUAAUUUUUUAUAGUUUUUAAAAAAUGGAUUGUAUUAACAUUUAAUGAAUAUUUUUUAAAUUGCAAAAUAAACUAAAAAAUAUUCGAUAUAAUUUAAAAUUUUACUAUAUUUUUUUAAAAAUUUUAAUUUUUUUAGACGAUCACCCAAUAUUUAUUUUCUAUUGUUUUAAAUAUUAGACUUUGAAUCAUUCAUAAAUUUAGUUAACAUUUUAAAAUGUUACAAUUUUAUAGUCGGAGAUAUCAGUUAGUUUCAAAUCGAUUUCAAUAGUGGGAGUUGAAAAAAUAAGGAAAAUUAUCAACAUUUUGAUCAAAUAUUUACGUUUUAUAAAAAGACUAAAUGUUAUAAGUUUUAUUUUGAGUAGUUUUGUUCUAUCAGUUGUAAAUAGUUUGUCAAUUUUUUUUUUAUUUUCGUGAAAAUCUCUUAUAAACUUAUAUUUAUCAAAUUGUGUUUAGUUUCAUAACAGUCGAUAUGUAAUCAUCUAUCAUCAAAAUCCACACAAAUAUAAGAAUUCAUGCAUUUGAAAUUUUCAAAUAUUAUCUUACCAAAGAUUUUUUAUUUCUUGAUCAAAACUCGAGAUUUCAAUUAACACAAUUACAUUAUCAUAUAUUUUAACAUUAAACUUCUCGUAAGUCAAAUUACUAUUUUUUUCAAUUAUAUUACUAAUUACUCAUCUAAUAGAUAGUAUGUGUUAAAAGAUGUUUGAUAAUAUUAUUAGAGAUCAAAAGGUUUGUUGUUCGAAUUUUCAUUUUUUUUAAAUGAUUGUAAUUAAAACAUAGAUAGAAGAAUCAAAAACUUCAAAUCUUGAAAUUAAUAUUACAUAUAUCAUAGUGUAACAAACUUAUUUUUCUUAUAUAUCGUACAUAGAAAAUGUUAUUAUUAUUUUGAUUAAUUAUUGUUUAAAUUUUGGAAAGAAGAAAAAUGGCGGGGCGGUGUUGAACUUGAUUGACCGGUCUGACGUGGUGGACACGCAUUGACACGUUGUUUUUAUGGCUCACAUGCGGCAGCUUCCAUGGAAUUUACGGUGCCGCCCAAGCAGAAAAGUGCCGAGACCACCGAACCAUAUUCCCCUGUUUUUGAACUAUUUAUUUCGUUUUCAAAAACGGGUGAAAUGUAUUUUGUUAAAUGUUUGUUUUUUCAUUUUUCCAAUAUAUAAUUUAAGACCAUAAUUUUAAAUGAAUUUACUUGCUAAAUAAAACAACAAAUUAUAGCAAAAUUUUAGAUUAUAUUAAUGAUAGUCUUCUAUCACCGUAACGUAUAAAUUUAAAUAUUUUUUCAAUUUUACUAUUUUUGUAAAUCUUUUAUAAGAGAAUGUAAAGGAAUUUCUCAUAAAUAUAUAAAACAUUUAAAUAUUUACUAUUUAUAUAAUAAAAUAUAAAAGAUAUUCAAAAAAAAUAAUUGAAAUAUUUGUAACAAUAUUCUUUUUAAAAACUAUUUGAGUAAAAAAAUCUAAAACUAAUCCAAUAUGAUCCCAUGUUGAAAGAGAUAUUUUCUGUAUUCGUGAGCACGUGGGUUUUUUCAUUCUGAAAUUGAUUCUUUUAUAAAUAUUUUGCUUAUAUUUUUUAAAAAACUCAAAUAUAUAGAUUUUAAAUAUUAAUUUAUGUAAAUAAAAAAAAUAGGAAGUAUUUACUUAGAGCAGAAAAAUAUUUAGAUUUAUCAUUUUAAACUUGGAUUAAAAAUUUGAUGGUAAAUAGUUUGGAUCAAAACAUGAGUUGAUUGAGUGGACAGGAGCCACGUAACACCCGGUCACGUGACUCACAUCACAAUCAAAACAAGGAAACAAAUUAUUAGAUUUUCUUUUUUUAUUUUUUUAGUUCAAAUUAUAAAAUUCAUGGUAUGAGUUUAGUUUUCAUUUUUCAAAACUUUGCAAUAAUACUUUUUAAAUUAAAUACAUAUACAUGGUCAAAAAUACACUCUUAAAUUAAAUUGAUCUAUUUUAUUAGUAUGUUUAUAUUUAAUAUUGCAAAAUUUGAAAUUAGUUCAUAAUUUAGAACAAAAAAAUAAAAAGGUAAUUAACACCAACCAAUUUGUUUAGAGAAUACAAAAAAUUAAAGAGUAAAAACUUAAGAGAGUAAAGUAGAAAAUAUGUUAAAAAAAUUUAUUGUUCUUAAUUAUUUAAUUACAAUAAUUUCUUCCUAUCUUUUAAAAAUUAUUUAUAUUUGUACAUGGCAAAGUUUGAAUCUCUAGUCCAUUGUUGUUUAAGUACGAUGAAAAUUACAAAAUGAGAUAUUAAACCUCGUAUUUCGAGAAUGAUAAUUUAGAACUUUACGAGUUCAAUUAAACUUAAGUUAAUUUAAACAAUAUUAAAUUCUAACCCUUAAACCCUAAAUCCUAAACUAAAUCCAUUAUUUUUGAAAGAAAAGGAGAUUGAAAUUUCCAAGUAUUGUAUUAUUUAUUUUUUCUAAAUUAUUAAUAAUAAUAAAAAGAAUUCUAAUUCUAUUUUAAUUGAAAUAUAAACGUUCUUUUGAAAUUGAAAGCGAUAAUUAUGUGAUGAGUAAGACGAUAAGUUUAGUUAAAAACAAACGCAUUGUUGUUCGGAUGUCGAACAAUUGGAAGCAUGCAAUUAAGUUAUUCGUGAGGAAUGAGCAUCAAAUUCUAUGGCAUAUCCCAUUAGUUGGGUGAAGUUACACACAUCUAAUUAUAUUCCUUAUACUAAACAUUUUCUUUUUAUUCCUCAAUGUGAUUUAAUGUAUUAUUCUAGCUCCCUUCCAUUUCUAAUGUUCCCAUUUUAUAUAUUCUUUUACCUCUUUGAUGUUUAUCUUAACGUGGUUAGAUUAUUUAUUAUACAACGUAUCAUAAAAUUUUCUAUUUUUUUAUUCUAUCUCGUGAACGAUGUGAUAAGAUAGAAAAUACUUCCACAUUAAGGUCAACGUAAACAUACGAUAAAAACAUUAUAAAAAAUGAAAAAUGGGAUUUAAAACAAAUACGAGAUAAUUGUUCUUGGUUCAAAUCUACAAAUUAAUCAAAGUGAUUUUUUUUGGAUAAAAAGAUUGGAUGGUCGAUAAUAAAAUCUAACCUUUUUUAACAUAAUUAAUAUUAAGGGUGUAGUUCAAACCUAGCUAAUGGUAACGUCAUACUGUAUUUCAUUACUUUUGUUUCACCAUAUUAAUUAUGACAACGUAGAUUGAAGUACGAAACUAUGAUGAUGUAUAUAUUUAUAGAUAAACGGCCUCAAGUUUAUUUUAGAUUUGAGAAUUAAUUAAAAUAUGAAAUUCUCGUGAUGUUUAGUUUGAUAAUUAGUUCACUUUAUUUUAUAUGAUGUUUUGAGUCUUUGAUCUAUUUUGUAAGGUUCAAACUUGUCUAAUACAUGUAUAUAUUUAUUAAUCAACUUAUGCUUUGAAAUGUCUUAGAUUUGUUAUGUAGUGUUACGUACAAACAGUUAAAAAUACAAGCUCGUUAGUCACAUAUUUUUAUUGUUUAUGGUUAAACUCUCUAAUCCUAGCGAUAUUGUCUGUAUUAUAACAAAAUUUUCUUUAAUAAAAUUAUUUUGAACGUAACUAAAAAUCUUAUUUAACUAUAUAUAACUGUGUGUUGAUUUUUUUUAUUGUGUUUUGGGGAAUGAGAAUAAAAAACUUGAAUAAAUUUUUGUUAAAGAAUGAAAUGAAUGAAAACAAAGUUAGAUAAAGAGGGGGAGAUAUGGACAUGACAUAUGCAAUAUGUGUAAGCAUAUACUUAGGUUUGGUGGUUUUAUUCGUUUCAAUUAUAAUAAAUGAAUAUGUUCAAUUUCAACAUUUUACUUCCUUUCACACUACAAAAAGUGAACGAGAUAGAUUUUCUCUAUAUCGAGAAAUUAUAUAAAAAAAUAUAACAUUUGUCAAAAUAUUUACACGUUGUAGAAAAACUAAGUGUAAUAAAUGUUAAUUUUUUUAUUUUUGAAAAAACUCCUUUUAAUUUCUACUUCUACCUAACACACACUUUCACAUGGGAAUUUUGCUCGAAUUUUGCAUACAUCGAUCGAGCUUCAUUGGAGUGUCUGUUGGCCUUAGUGUUCGACUCACUUUGUAUGGUUUAAUAUCUUUUUGAAUGAAUAUGCAUGUAAGUUUCUUUCUCCAUUGUAAUGUUUAGUUGAUUACACUGCGACACUUAAGUUAGUAUAAAUAAUGACUAAUUGAACUAAUCAUAGAAAAAUAGAAGGUUUGGAUUCUCGUUGGCACUUAUAAGUUAUUUACCUUCUUCUGCAAUAUAUUUUUCCUACAAACACUCACUUCACUUUUAAAAAAAAUUUCACGGCUUUAGUUCAUGCUUAAGAAAGAGAUUGAGAGUUCUUACUCAGCUGUAGGGAAAGCUGCUUUGUUCCCCGCUACGUGGGCUUUAUGGAUUUGGGCAUGGAAAUUCUCUUCCACUCGUACAACUGUGAUUUGAAGAGUAUGAGUCAUCAGUCUCACUUGUCUUCGAAAUACAGAAUCCCACUCGAAUAGAAAGGGAAAAACCUAGUUUUCAAAAAGCUUGUUUUUUGUUUUUCCCUUUUGAAGCUAAUAACUCACUCAAUUUCUUAGAUGAAAGAUGAAAAUUAUGGUAAGAAACGGAGAAAAAACUUAGUUACAAAAAUAAAAAAAUUUAAAGGAAUAGUUGCAAAUUUAACAAUUAGAUUAAAAACAAUUAAGUAUGUAAUAAUAUUUAAUUUUUUUUUGCAAAUAUAGCAAAAUUUGUCAACUUCUAUCAAUAAGUCUAUCACCGAUAGACCAUGUUACAAAUAUAUAGUCUAUUAGUGAUACAAACCGAUACAAGUAUAUUAGUACUAUAUAUAUAAUUUUUUUAAAAUGUUACUGAUAUUUUUCGUUAUUAUUCCGAUUAAUCUAAAUUGUCCAAACGAACGUGUACAUUAGGUCUUCAAACAUCCAACUACUCUAUAUGGCCUUUACGCUUUUGUGUCAGCAAUAGGCUUCAACCUAGCAUCUAGGCUUUUCUAGUGAUGGGCCAGCCCGUUAACGAAAACCAGCACUACAAAAAGUUUGAUAAACAUUGGACCUUUAUGGGCUUGAAGAAAUAUUAUUGGGCCAGCAUUUGAAUUUUCCGAAAGAGAAGAAAGUAAGGGUAGGUGACCUUGAAAUAACAAAAUAAAUAUAAUAUGGGAUUUUAUAAUUUAAUAACAUAAAGUAAUGAUAAGAUUACGCUAUGAUUCACCAAUAAAUAAUUUUAUUGUGUGUUUUUUUUCUUACACUGAAUGCGAUUGCAUUUUGUCUUACUACUACAUUGUGAUUACAGUUUUCUCCAAUCAGUUUUAAAAUAAACAAGGCAACUUUGGACAUUUAUGUCAUUUCACACUUUUAUUAAAUUAUUGAUCAUACAUUAGGUUGUUUAAGAUAUGCUUUUUAUUUCGCAUUGGAAAUUAUUAUAGUGCAACAACACCCCUAUGAUUGGCUUUUCAUAUUGUUAUUAGUAGGUUUGCACAAUGUUUUAUUAAGUUGCAUAUGCUUUAUCAAAAACCUUUUAAGUUUUUGCAUAUCUUAUCAACUUGUUUCCUUUGAUUUUUGUUUCACGGUUAAUUCCCAUAAACGUGAUAGAUUGGUAUAAUGUGUUCUUUUAUUGUUUGGUGUUGGUAAUUUUGUGUAAUUUUGUAAAUGAAGACUUGAAACUUAGUAAAUUUGUUUAACCUAAUUAGUUGAAACGUUGAAAGAUACUUGGAAGUUGAUUUUGUCUUCUAUUGAGUUUUGGUGUUGUUGUUAUAUGUGAUGAUUGUAGUUGUUUGGUAAUUGUUUGACGACUUUUAAUUUAUAGUGUUUGAUCGUCGUGUUGUUGAAACGUCUACCAAGUUGUUUCGAUGGCAUGUGUGUAGCUCGUUUAGAGAAAAUGUAGAUGGAUGGGAUUAGUUCAUUGUUGAAUUGAGGAAGUUUGGGAGAUUUCGAAGAGAUUGAAGUUAUUUUCGUGUGGUUUAAUCAAAUAUCUCUUUUAAAAGAGAAACUAUUUAAACAAACAAACAUAUAUGUCUAGCAUUUACACUAUACUUACAUCAACGCUCUUUGUUUUUAUGUCUCAUCAAAUAUCAAUUAAUUUGUUUAUGUAGGUAUCAAAUUUAUGGAAGACGGUAGACACUGUAUGAUCACAUAAUCGUAUAUUUAGAAGGGGAGGAUAAAAGGUGAGACUAUUAUAAGGUGAAAGGAGGAAUGAAAUGGGAAAUAUAUAUAUGUGGGUGUGUGUGUGUGUAAUGUACGAAUGAGAUUGAGACCAAGUUGAUGUUGAUCUCCAAUGAUAGGGAACUCAAAUGGUUCAUCCGGGGAAUUCGGGGAUAUGAUGAACGAUUAUAUAGAAAGGGGUAAGAGUAAUAAGAAAAAAAGGGGGAGUUAUUGAUGAAGAGAGAAGAAGAAAGAGGAAAAGUGUUGGUGUGGGUAUGUUUAUGGGGUUUGUAGCUUUAUGCAUCAAUGAGCUUUUUAAUUUAUAAUAAAUUGAAAUUAAUUAAUAGUUUUUUUUUUCUUUUUUUCUUUUUUGUUUUUCAUUCUUUCUUGUGUUUGGACGGUUUGUUGAGCUUUUAAUCCCAAUUUUCUCCUUCUAGAGAGAGAAAGUCUUUUAGAGAGACAAGAGACAGACACAGGGGAGAGAGUUUUAGAGAGAGAAAAAGUUUGUGGGAGGCGCAGGGGAAUUGGGCAUUUCUUUUUUCCCAGUUCGCGAUGGUUUGAUUGGAAUCUGCAGCAACAGUUAGAUUUCCCCUUUUUCUCUUGUCUUGUUUUGUUGCUUUUUCCAAUUUUUGUUUUUCUGGGUUUCGAAAAUCGUUGACGGGGUUUCCAAGCUGUGGUUUUUGUAAACCCAGAAAGGGAUCUUCGAUGCAUUGAUUAGAUUUGGUGGAUUUGGAUUUUUCCUAUCUGGGGUUGCUUGGAUUUGCGUUUUUUUUGGCGAAAUGAAUGGUGGAAACGAGGUCGUUGCAGCUCCGGCCGGCCCGCCACAGCCGCUGGACUGGAAAUUCUCUCAGGUAUUUGGCGAACGUACAGCCGGUGAAGAAGUUCAAGAAGGUACUAUUCACUUUAUACUGUAAUCCCGAUGUUUUCUUUUCCGUUUGGGGUUUCUCGAUCCAAUUCAAAUUUGUUGCAUCCAUUACAAUUAGGGUUUUUUUUCACGCCUCCGAUCUGUUUCAGAUUGUAGCUCGUUCUGUUAAUUUGGAAUUUUUGUCGCGGAUCUCUAUCUGCUACCUUCUUGGACCUGCGAGUCAAUCUGUGGUUUUUAUGUUUAUUUGCUGGGAAUUCUUGCUUUGUGUUCUGUAAUGAGAGGGAGUUAAGUUUGCUAGUUGAGAUGCCCUUCCCCAAGGUUGUGCAGCAUUGUUUUUCAUUUUUUCUUUUUCUUUUUUUUUGGUAGGAUUAGUAAGAAGCUUCGAACCUAAGCCUGGUGAGUGACCUGUGUAAUAGCUUUGAGUCUCUGGGUUGAAUUUACUGCAUGCACUUUCUAGCCUUUGCCCUCAGAUUUUCCUCCUUUUGAUAGUAAGUGAAUGCAAAGAGCCAUGGUUAACUGUGUGGAGUGCAUCCUCGAUGUGUGAUCCCUUCCACCCCCCUUUCAAACUAUCGUUGAGAAUGGGAUAAAUUUCACGUAAACACUCAAGCUUUUCUGGUCAUAAGAAAACCUGACAAAUGCCUGGUUCCUGUUAUUCUGGAAAUACCUGUAUGUUAGAAUAUUGAGUUAUGCUUAGCUAGCUUUAAAGCUUGUUUGGAUUGUUCCCUUCCUGAUGUGAAACCAAAAUGCAAGUAAUAUGACAAACAAGCCUAUUGAAUUCGUAUCUUGAGCUGACAAGUGUAUUAAAUUCCCUGCAAUGAACCAACAACCACCCUUUAGUAGUUUCUGUGCUCAUAGUCCGCUUUUGGAAUAUGGUGUUGUAUGCAUAUCACAUAAAGUUAAAAUGGUAUUGGACCCUUCUUUUCCUCCCCUUUUGGAAAUUAUUGUGGGAAAAAGUUCGAAUUUCUUAGAGGACCCCGGGCUCUGUCAUUAUCUUUGGGAGUUAAUUUGUUUUCUUUUCUAUCUAUCUUUCUUUCUCUUUUUUUCCUUUUAGUGCUACAAUCGAACAUCCUUCUAGUAAGUAACUGUCCUUUAUGAUUUGCGUUGGUGAGAAACUUUUUCUGCCACUCUUGGCUUUUGUGUUGGUAGGACAGAGGUCUUAUUUCCCAAACCUCUUAUUACUCACACCAUUAUAUGUGGCUUGAACUCUCGGAUGCUUCUUUGGGCAGUCUUCAUGCUUCUAUUGUCUUUCACUACCCAACUAUUUCUUGUCUCAUUGUUUCAUUUCCUUUCCUUUUCCCAACUAUAGCAUUCCCUGAGAUAAUAGCCCUUGUUGCUGUCUAGCCGUGGUAUGUGAAGGUAGACAUGUAUUAUCAAGCUUGUUAAAGGUUUUGUUUGUUUUCUGUGUUCUCAUCUAAAUUCUUGGUUUUAAGUUUAGCAUUCAUGUUACACUGGUGAUGGGUGUUUCACUUCACAUUAACUCAGUUGUUUCAACAUGAAAGCUCUUUCUUUCAAACUAUCUGUAUAUGAUUACUCUCUGCAAUGGUUUUGGGCUGCUUGGAUCUGCAAUAUGUGAAAAUCUUGGAGUUGUCUAAUAGAUGCAGCAAUUCUCGUUUUCCUAGUCAGUUUGAUCGUUGAUGCAUGCAUUUUUCAUGGUUCUGUUUUCCUGUUUCCUCUAUGUAUGAAUUUCUGAAGCUCUAUAUUCACCUCCUUUUUGGCAGUUGAUAUUAUUUCAGCAAUUGAAUUUGAUAAAAGUGGGGAUCAUCUUGCUACUGGUGACCGUGGUGGCCGGGUGGUACUCUUUGAGAGGACAGAUACGAAAGAUGUUUGUCUCUUGGAAUGCCCUCUUUGUUUAGUACCCCUGGAUAUGUUUCUUGCUUUCUGUGUUCAUUAGCAUCUUAUUUAUUUGUCUUUUGCUUUAACUUUUAGCAUGGUGGAUCGAGAAGGGAUUUGGAGAGGAUGGAUAAUGCAAUUAUUAGGCAUCCAGAGUUUCGUUAUAAAACAGAAUUUCAGAGUCACGAGCCUGAGGUAUUCUCUCCAACAUUAGUCUUUUAAUUUCUUAUUACUUAUAUGUGUGUGUGUUUGCGUAUGUAUUAUAUUGACGGGCUCAAUUAUAUUCAUAUUUAUGUUUCAUUUGCAUUGCUUUGAUCAGUUUGACUACCUGAAGAGUUUGGAAAUUGAGGAAAAAAUUAACAAAAUCAGAUGGUGCCAGCCAGCUAAUGGAGCCUUAUUUCUGUUAUCUACUAAUGACAAAACAAUCAAGUACUGGAAGGUAGGCUACUACCUAUAUCUCUCGUUAUUAAACCAUGCGGAGAACACUAAAUUUGGUAGUUGAUAAAAUGGUAGCAAUUAUAUCUGAGCAUCUUGGUAGCAUAUUUCUGGAGGUUACUCAGUGUAAUCCUAAGAUUACAUGCUUCGUAAGGUUGCAUAAAUUUUGAAGGGUUGAAAAUUUAAAGCUUUAUUGACUGUAGUCUGGUAGGUUAUUCUAAAUACUAGCAGCAGACGAUUUCAGAUUAUCAUGUCUGCUCAUUUAAAAAAUUUAUGAAUUGCUAAUGCAUAAUGCUGAAGAAUUAUUCUAAACAUCGGUUCUAGUGCAUGAAGUUCUCUCUUUGAGUUUAUUUAUAAUGAAAAUAUGGCGUGUUUUGGGACUAGUCAGAAGCCCUAUCUCUUCCCCACCCCACCGAACAAACACACUCACGUGAAAAAUCUUAUAUUUGUUGUCUUGUAGCCCUUUUGCCUGUUCUGCACCAUUUACAUCUUUCUUUUGUUUCUGAGUGUUGAUCAGGUGCAAGAAAAGAAGGUUAAAAAGGUUUCAACUAUGAAUGUGGAUCCUUCAAAACCUGCUGGAAACGGCAGCAAUGCUAGUUCAAGCAAUUCAAGCAGCUCUGGACAAUAUCUUGCAAAUGGAGGAUCCCCAGACCGGUAUCCGAGUAAUGACCUCUCAUUUCCAGCGAGAGGGAUACAAUCGCUACGCCUACCAGUGGUAGGCCUUCACCUUCUUGUAAUCGGGCAUAUAUUAAUUCGUUAUUGGUUAUUUUAGGAAAAAUAUGAAUUUAUACCUCUAAACUUUGUGGUUGUGUUAAUUAAAACCUGAACUAACAAUAUCGUAUCAAUUUAAACUAUAAACUUUUGUAAGUGUAUUAAUUUAUACCCUCUAUUACGUUUUGUUUUAGAAAACAUCGUGUCAGACUUAUACUUGUAUCAAUUAAUCCCCUAAAAUUUUAUAAGUAAAUCAAUUUAGACUACCGUGAGAAUUUCUUUUGAGAAUCAUCCAUGCAUCAACGCUGAUUAUCUAUUUUAUAAAACCAACGUCCGUAAAAUUCUACACAUGUAAGUACAGAUGUAUGGAUGAUUUUUAAAGGUAAUCGUAAUGGUGGAUCUAAAUUGAUUUGCUUAUGAACAUUUAGGAGUUCCAUUGAUAUGAAUUAGAAGUUUUACAUAAUAUUUGUUGAGUGAAAUCUGGAGAAUGAGAAUGGUGUAGAUUGAUAAAUUUACAAAAGUUGGGGGUUUUAAUUGAUACAUUUACUUGUUUAGAGUGUAAAAUGUCACAAUUAUUAGUUCAACAUUUUAAUUGAUAACCCCAAACUGUAGGGGUAUAUACUGAUAUUUUCCCUUACUUUUAAUUAAGGUCUUCAGUCUUCUAUGAUACUUUGUUCUCCUCUCUUAAAAAGUGAAGCUUGUUACCAUGUUGUAUCGUGGUGUAAAUUGUCUUACUUCCUCUCGUAUAGCUAUACUCCCCUUUUAACAAAUCAGAUAGCCUUUUGUAACCAAAAUGGAUUUUCCAACCCUUUUUAAAUUUCAUACAUUACAUCAAUAAAAUUGUUUCUUAUAAGAAAAAUAGUUAUUUUGAUAUAUUCUUCUUAAGAACGCAUUCGCCAAAUUUCAAAAUCAGGAUUAGAACUUUGGUAACUAUUGUUUUCCGUUGUUAAGAUUUGGCCAAGUUUUUAGUAGUAAAUUACAAAUAGAGAAACAUGUUUGGAAAUAAAUGUUAUGUUUAGAAAAAUAAGAAGAAGAUAAAAGACCUAAUUUCAUCUUCUUCUUCCUUUUAUUUUAUUUUUAAUGCUUGAGUUCUUAAAGACACUAGUUUUGCAGGUAACUAGCCACGAGACUAACCUGGUUGCAAGAUGUCGGAGAGUGUAUGCCCAUGCUCAUGAUUAUCAUAUCAACUCCAUCUCCAAUAAUAGGUUUGAUGUCUUUCACUGGAAGUUUUUUUGUGUGUAUAUUCUGUUAUACUCUUUGAGUACUUGAUGGAAUGUUUUGUCUUUGAUAACCUUGGCCAUACAUGAUAAUUUUUUUCAGAAUCUUACCAUUUUAUUUUAUUCAUGCCUUGUAUUAAGCACACGAGUAUUUCAUCUUACAUGUUAUACUUUUCUAUUUUGAACAAGAAGGUUUUUUCAUUUGUAUAUGAAAAGAGUUUGAAAAUACAUACUCCCAGAGGGGAAAGAAAGGAAAAGGAAAAACAAAAAUGUAAAAGAUUGCAGGAAUCCAAAAAGAAACCCAACAAAUCAAACAAAAUACAGGGACCAAAAAAGAUGCUAACUAACAAUGAUUGCAAAGCUAGAAGAUAAUAGCAAGUUAGCAACAAAGACUCUUAGCUUUUAAACAAAAGCUGAGUCUUUAAUGGGAAUUGGGAAGCUCCUCAAACUGCUGAAGCUUCGGACAUCUAGUUGAGGAAGGAACAGCAACUGUCAAGGAGAAAAGUACGAACACCACAAGGCUAAAGAAGAAAACAAACAAAACAACAAAAAGCCCCUUUAACACCAAACUCAACUCCGAAGAAAACCCCAACAAGUAGCAACUUCACCCUAUAACUGAAAACUGAUGAUAUGACUAGCACUUCAGCCUAGCCAAAGAUAAAUGCACCAAAAAGGAAAAGAACAAAACCAAUAGAAGAUUUUUUUUUCAUUUUCAUCUAUUUUGUUGAUGAGAGGGGGAGAAGAAGACUCAUCCAGCAGCUUCCUUGAAGGCAAAUUAAGUUCUUGACAAGUACAUAUGAAAGAGCUUCAAAAUCUUAAUCAUCAAAUACCUUUUCAUGCCCAUCUAUGAUUGAAAGUUGAACCUCUAAGUCAUCACUUCAAAGACUAAACAGAAACCUUGUCUGUCUCUUCAUCCUCCUCCAAAAAUCUGACUUCUUGAUGAUCUCAUUUAUUGAGAUAAUAGAGAACCUUAUAAAGAGUGUUAGUAACAAAUUAUGUUGAAGACGAAGUUUUAUUAAAAUGUUAUAAUUACAUUGAACUGUUUUUUAAACCUCUACACCAAUUACAGGAUAAAGUUCCAUCAACAUCCCAUAGGUCCCAGAAAUUUCUCAGUUGAAAUCUCUAACUCCCUCCCUGCAGCAUUUUCCUGGAAGUAAAAGUUCAAACUGUUUGUAAAAGUUAAUGAACUAGUUUCAAAUUCUGAGAAUUUUCUUCAUACUGGUGGUACACAUAUGUGUGUGUGUAUUGCUUGCAUAGAGUCAAAAUCCGAUAGCUUUGUGCUUGCUCAUUUGACUCAUGUAUGUACGUAUUUACUGUUUUAAUGUCCUUAGUGAUGAACUCUAGCUACUGUUGAUUAGGGUCGUUAAAGGGGGAAAAAAAGGAAAAGGAAAAGAGAGGGGAAUUUUUGAUUUAUUUUCGGAAACGUGCUUUCAAUUUUCAGCAGUCUGCUUGUUUUUAGAAUGCUUUUAGUAACCAAUUAUGUUAUCUUGCCUUGUGUUUAUAGUGAUGGAGAAACUUUUAUAUCAGCUGAUGAUCUGCGGAUAAAUCUCUGGAAUUUGGAAAUUAGCAAUCAGAGUUUUAAUAUUGUUGAUGUCAAGCCUGCUAACAUGGAGGAUCUGACCGGUAAGGUGUUGAAAUUUUGAUCAGUAGUGUAUGGCAUUCCUUCUAGUGGCUGAUAUUUAAGUAAUCAAAAUUGAAAAUAUUAAGUGAAUACUUUUUUCUAUUACUAAAAAAAUGGAAACGGAAAGGGUCUUUUAUCUUCUUAAACUUUGGAUUCUAAGUUUCCCUUGUGCUUCUGUAGAGGUGAUAACGUCUGCAGAGUUUCAUCCUACUCAUUGCAAUAUGUUAGCAUACAGUAGUUCAAAAGGAUCCAUCCGCUUAAUUGAUUUGCGGCAGUCAGCAUUAUGUGAUUCUCACUCCAAAUUGUAAGUGCCUUUACUGGUUUUAAAGAAAGAUGGUUUUUUGCUUCAUAUCCUGCGUAUAAAAGCAUCCUGUGGACUUGAAAACUCAUGAAAAAUUUCAAUUGGGUGCAGAUUCGAGGAGCAGGAAGCACCUGGUUCUAGAUCCUUUUUCACUGAGAUUAUUGCUUCAAUCUCUGAUAUCAAGUUUGGAAAGGAUGGAAGAUACAUUCUUAGUCGUGAUUACAUGACUCUCAAGGUUCUCAUUUUUCUUCUUGACAUGUGAUAUUUGGCGACCAUGUUACAAUUUCAUCAUUUAGGAUAAUAGAAAAGGGAAAGAUAACCUUUAGCUCAUGCAAAGCUCUCUUAUUUCACGUCCAUUUAGGAAGUUCCUGUUAGACUAGAUCUGCAACAAUUUUGGAUUGGUCUGCCAAGAAAGCAUAUAGUUGAAAAUUUGGAGUUAUUACUAUGUGGAAGAUUUUUUUUAGUAAAAAUCAUCUUAUUCCUCUGAAUCCAAGCACUCCACAAAAUAGUAAAGAAAUCAGCUUGCCACAAACUCUACCUCCUCUGUGAGAGGACAAUGUGAUAUCACCUCCUCAACCUUGGCUUUGACAUCUCUAUUCCGAACCCAAAAUUCACCCAACUGCCACAACUUCAACUGCAGCCUCCCCAUUUCCUUUUUGUUUAUUUAGGAGUUUUUGUGUUGGAGGUAAUGGGUGAUAUCUCCAUUCUCAUCUUUUUUACCUUUUGGUCUACUUUGAUUAUGAUGGUCCUACUACAUUGUUCUAAUCAAUAAGAAAACUCAUUAGGUAUAAGGCUUCUUGGCACUUUUCAAGGGAAGAUACUUGUAGUUGUAGCUAACUUCUCUUAGGUAGUGUUAAAUAUUAAUGCCUGGUAGGGUCAUAACCCACAAGAAGGUUGUGAAUCUGUGAUUAAGUUUUUUAUUGUUAAUCGUGGGAUGCUUGAUCUUGUAAAUGCCUGCUACAGUUCUGGAACCACUCUAAACACCGUGUGUGUUGUGCGUGCCUGCAUGUAGUAUGCUUCCGGUGGUUUUUGGCUCAGAUUUUGUAUCUUUUGUUUCUUGUUGAUUGAUUUUCAUAUUCACUCUUACCCCUAAGGCUUUUGGUCUAUAUUUUAAGAGUAAUGAUUGGGUGUAACCUAAGUUGAACCGAAUACUUUGCAUCUCUCCCUUGUAGAUAGUGAAGAAAAAAACAAUUCAACUUUUUCUUUUUUUAAAUUGCGAGAUGGCAAGAUGUUUAUUGGCAACUACCACCACCACCCAGACAACACCUAAGAUUUUUUUUUCCAUAUUCAACAAAGUUUAGAUUGUUUUCACUAGUUAAAGUUAUCUUGUAACGAAGUGAGUUGUUUACUUAUUUGCAGUUGUGGGACAUUAAUAUGGAUUCUGGUCCAGUUGCAGCGUUUCAGGUUCAUGAAUAUUUAAGACCUAAGGUUGAACUAUCUGCCCCUGAACUCAGAUUUGAAUAUUAAAUAUGCAGCUAUCUUUUAUUUUUUUUUGGUAACGUUUUACUUCGAAUAUUCAUGUAGCUGUGUGACCUGUAUGAAAAUGAUUCAAUCUUUGAUAAGUUUGAGUGUUGUUUGAGUGGAGAUGGAUUGCGAGUAGCUACAGGCUCUUACAGGUAAGUGUUCUACUGCAGAGAACUCUUUAUUUCUUUUCCUUUGCAGAGAACUGUACACUCCUUUUCUUUUCUGGGACAUAAACCGUAUUAUGCAUAUUUUUGUUUCCAGUAAUUUAUUCCGCGUGUUUGGCUGUAUAUCGGGAAGUGCAGAGGCUACAACUUUAGAAGCUAGCAAAAAUCCAAUGAGGUAAUUAUUCGUGAGUGUGAUUUCAUCAGGUUUACGUGAUGCUUAUGUGAGGUUCAAUUGUAACUGUAGGCGUCAAGUUCAGACCCCUUCAAGGCCUACCAGAUCUCUGAGCAGUAGUAUAACACGAGUUGUAAGACGAGGUUCGUGUUUCCUUCUCUUUUCACUUGUUGGCAAACCAAAUUACCAAAAUUCUAGUUGUGGCAUACUGUUUAUUUUACGUUCUCCCUAUUUGGCAUCCCAUAUCAGGAGCAGAGAGCCCUGGGAUUGAUGCAAAUGGAAAUUCCUUUGAUUUCACAACAAAGUUACUGCAUUUAGCUUGGCACCCAACUGAGAACUCAAUUGCCUGCGCUGCUGCUAACAGCUUGUACAUGUAUUAUGCGUAAACGUGGAUUAGCAAGAGAACGCAUUUUGCUUGGUCGAAUUUCUCGAGUUUCUCUUGGAGAAAAUUAUUUUCCCAUUUCCUUCCAGCCAUUGAUUCGGAAGCUUUGCAAGUACUCAAGACAUCAAAUGACGUACCCUGAAGACUUAUUGAAUGUGCCUUUGGUAUCCCGGAUGCAGAGGUGGCUGCCACCCAAAACCCUCCACAAGGUUUAUGUUGAUUUCUCUGCAGUGGCUGCAUCUCAUUUUCCUCCUCCCUCCCUCCCUCCCUCCCUCCCUCUUCCUUAACCCCAACUAUUUAGUUUCUUCUUUCACUCUUUUCAUUUCCCUGCAUCUUCUGAAAGAGAAGAUGUAGUUAUGUUUCAGAUUGUUUUGGGUUGGAGCCAUGAAGGAAAAAAAGAAUGUGAUUGUAGCUCUCCUACAACAAAUACUAUAAACGAAUGUUCAAUAUUUGCAACAACCGCAACUAGGUUUAAGAUUACGAGGAAAAGGAAAAUGUAGUUUUUAUUCAUAAUCUUGGUUGGGAUGAAACUUUUGAUAAACUUACACAGCAUCAUUUUUUCAUUGAUUCUUUGUGUGACUGAGUGGUAAUUUAUUUGACCCACAUUUAUUAGAACUUACUUUAUCUUGUGUGGUAUUUCCGUUUUCUUAUAGUUUCUUAUAUUUACAUCAGGGAGCAAGGGGAAGACUGUGCUCUUACUUUAAGUAUUGUUAACCAGAUGAAGUGAGAAGUGAGUUUGUAUGUCAUUUCCUUAAUUGCUCUACAAACUAUUCAUGUGCUCCUUUUAAAGGGUCCGAUUUAUUCUCUUAGAAAUGUUGGCUUUGGUUAACUUUGGCAAACUUCUCCCGUUUUAUUUGUGUAACAGAACAAAUGGUGUAACAGCUUUUGAGAUGAUAGUUCCCAUUUGGCUUAACGUAGAUUUAUGAGGUCAUUUGAUAGAUAGAUGAAAGUUUCAAUCAAAGAUAUUAAUGUAACUUAACAUGUGCUGAUAUUAAAAUAUUUCUGGCAUUUGUAAUUUUUGGGUUUCCCUUGGUCAUUGUUAAAUAGAAUCGAGGCAAGAAAAAUGCAAUAGUACCAUACCACUUUUCAAACAGCACAUUCGCUUUAUUUUCAAUUAUUUCAAAUUCGUACAUUUAGUAACUUUAUUUUAUCAUUCUCUAUUGCUUAAUUCUAUAGCUCGAGUCAAUAUUAUAUCAUCCAAAUAAUUCAGCGGACGCUAUGGUUAAGUCUGUAUUUAGGCGAAUUGAACCAACCCAAAUGCAAUAGAAAAAUGUUUUGAGAACUGGAUUUGUUGGUUAGGUCGGUUUUGUUUUCAUGUGCACAACGAACUUGAAAAUCUAAUUGGUUUCCCUGUUCAUAAAUAGAACUGAAAAAUCUAAUUGUAAAAUUGUCCAAUACAGAAAUAGCAAGUGAGGUAUAACAUUUGAGGUGGUAAAUAAAACAGUGCCAAUGAUCCACACAUUCAAACAUGACACGUUUGGUUCUAGAAAAAAUAUCUAACCAGACCGACUAGCUUGCUUUCAAGUUAUCAAGCUGCUAGAACAAACCAACUUCAAACACUUUCUUGCAAGCCAACUUAGUCGAUGAAAUCUUUUAGCCAACCAUGGAAGCCAUCACAUUAAACUCUAACAUAAAUGAGAUCACUUGGGGACAACACGAGCCUUGUACAUGCAUAUGUAUGCCAUGUGCCAGUCACCUGAAAUAAGUGAAAGAUCAGAACGAAACAUUAUUUGUGGUUAGCAGUGGAUCCAUUUCUAACGAAUUUCUGUUUGGAGAAUGGAAAUUUAGGAUACUAAAACAGGAAUUAGUUCCCAUGUGAGCUCUACCUCCACCAGAUAGCUUUAAGAUGUCUUCUUCUCUCUGUGCAAUGGGGUUAUCAUCAUCAUAUUCAAUCCACUUCCCUGUGGCCAAUUGAAGAUCAUUAAUGAUUGUUUGUUUUGCAUAGUAAUUAAUGAAGAAAAAACUAUUCAUUCUAAAAGACUAACCGCUUUCUUGCUUUACCCAGGCAACAUAAUGUCCUGAAUCUGCACUCCUUCCUUUGUGGGUCAACACAGCUACCAAAUCAUAAAUUCCAGUCAUUUGUGUUUCCUUGUCAGAAGAGGGCGAAUCUGAGAUAGAUAAUCAUCGAAAGGUGAGAGUCUAAGAAAGCAUGGAGGAAGAACCGAUUGAAUGCAAAGUGAAAUUUUUAGAAAAGUGUACCUUCUUGAGGUGUAACACUUGACUGUGCCUCACUCCCAGUAGAUGUACCCUGCAUAUUUCAGGAAUUGGAAGUCAAAAAGAAAGUUCAAAUAUAAUUAUCAAAGGUUGCAAAUGGAGUCUUGACUCACUUCUGCAUCAGACAUCUUUACAUCCUUGUCUGCCGAAUCUGAAGCCUUCUCCUUGGGUUUCAGACCAAGUUUUUUGCCUUCCUCAUUCCUCAAAAGCUAUAUUUCAAUAAACGGAAUUAAAAAAAUCAUCAACUCUAAACUAUCAAUAAGUUUCUUCUUCAAAAACCGUAGGUGAGAAUUGAGAAACCAUACCAGUCGAGGACCUUCCAAUUGUUUGCGAAGAUCAUCUGAACACAAAUCAAACACAUCCAACUCCAAAGGAUAAUCCACUUUCUGAGAUGGAAGUUAAAAUAAAAAAAAAUUAUGGAAUACUGCAAGGCAAUUUAAAUUCAAGUAAAAUAGAACAGGAAUUACAAUGUGUAUCCACGGGAGAAAAAACUAAGUGGCAUACCCUCAAGAUUUUGGCCUUCUGAUUUGACUCUCUCUUCCAAAAAAAGCGGACAAAUUGAAUUGUCAGGUACCUUAAAAUAAUUAAACCACAAUAAUUGUUAUGUAGGUUGCAAAAGUUCACAUUUUUAUUUAAUUUUUUGCAUGGUUUAACGCUAAUCUAAAAUUGACCUCGUAGAUUUUCUAGUGAAAAGAUGCGCUAAGUAGUAGUAGGCAAUGCAAAACUAAGAGAAUUUUGAACUUAAGAAGAUUAUUUAUUUUAAUAAGAGAAAAACAAAAAAAGAAAAAGAAAAAGAAAAAAAGUAUGAAGAUAUCUUUACCUUGGCAGGCUAUUAAUACGAGAUUCCCUAAUGAAAAUUGCACUGCGCCCCAGUGAAGGAGACACUUUAUCUAUUUCUGAUUUUAGACCCUGCAGAAUUUCGAAGUAUGUAAGAACUUAUCAUGAAGAAGGUUUCUAAAACAAGUACAUAUUUUAACACAAAACCAAUACUUACUAAGAAAAUAUAAAAAAUGAGGCAAGUGAGAGAGAAUAGGAAUUUCACUCGGGAAAACAUUACAAUAUCAGACUUCAAAGUUCGCGCGAACUGCUCGCUCAAGUUAUAGAACUAUUUAAUGUUUUUAAACAUUUGGAUAAAAACAUUUUAUAAAUCUUAUGGAAUUACAGUAUGUGGGGGCAGACCCCUGCCCAAAGGAAUCACAGAAAUUCUGUCCUUGGGCUAUAUAACAGCAGAUAAGCUACAGCUUAAAAAGUAAGUGGAGAAUUUACACAAAGAAUUAAGAAAAAAGAAAAAAUAAAUUUGUACCAAUGAACUUUGAAAUUAUAUCUAUCGAUUAAAACUCAACUUUCAAACUCAACUUUCAUAAGUGUAUCAAUUUUGACCAUUCGCUGAGAUCGUUUUAAGACCAUUGAUGCAUAAUCUUUACACACAUAUAAAACUCUUUCAAUACAAGAGUUGCAAAUAUUAAAGAAAUGUUGGAAUCAUUUAUUAUUAUUAGUAUUUUUGGGAUAAGAAACAAAUUUCAUGGAUACAGAUUUCAUUUAUGUAUCAAAUUUACAAAAGGGCAAGAAGCCUGAGCCAUGGAGUUACACAAGCUUCUCCAAUUGGUCAAAGGAGAUGUAAAAUCAUAUGAAUGGAAAAAAGAUGUACAAUUGCACCAAGUCAUAGAAGUAGAUGGUAUGAUUAAAAAAGUACCAAAAGAUCUUCCCUUUUCGUCGAAGAGGCAUAAUAUCAUUAGGAUAAGUGUGACCACAUAUUAACCAUAAGAAAGCAUAAAUCAAGUGUGACCACAUAAUCUUCUUGGGUGAGGUAAAAGGAUUUCUAAUGAGAGUGCAUGUGAGAAGGGCUCAAAAUAUCAUUAGGAUAAGGCGUACUGGAGCAGACCAUCCAAAGGAGGUGGUGAUCUCAUUCCAAAAACGCGUAGCAUAAAAGCAAUGGAUGAAAAGAUGCUUGGAGUCUCGUAAUCGGCAUGGCAGAGUUGGCAACAUUGUGGAGAUAGAGCUAUAUGUGGAAGAUGUCCCCGAAUUUUGUCAUUCGUAUUGAUUGCAUUGCAGCAAAAGGGAGGGGUUGGAGAGGGACGCAUAAAGACCAGCUAUCUAGUGUAUUGAAAAAUGAUUCCUUUUCCCUUGGGACCUGGUGGGGGUUAGGAAUUGGGAACCUAAGGUUACAAAUUAAAGCCUCAGUGGUAAAGUGGUUUGGGAGAUUACGAAGAAAAUCUAAUUGUACAAAGUAGUUUAGAAUGUGGUUGGCAGAAGAGGUGGCAGCAUUUCAAGGUGCAUUCUUCAGAUAAUGGUUUUGGAACUAUACUCACUUUCUAAUUAAUGCUAACUUGGGCGAUUUCCUAUAAACUAUUUUGGUGAGUCUUGCUUUUGUUAGAAACUAUUGUAUUUAUUACUGUGAUAUCUCUCUUAACCAGGGAGAUAAUCAAUUUAUUUUAAGGGUACCUUCAUAUAGGCAGCCACUAGUGUUUGAAUGCAAUAUCACGUACUGAUAGAAAACAUAACCGUUUCUAAACAAUGGAAAGAACGGUGAAAACUGGUUAGUACAGAACCACUAGCUUGACUUCCAAAGAGAAUGAAAAAAACCUAACCAACCAUAAAUUACGGGCUCCAAACACAGAAGUUCAAUCUACUUCUAAAAUAUAAAAUUUAGCUUUUGUAAUUGAAUGGGCAACCUUGUAGAAGGUUUCGGUUAUAUCAAGUACAAAGACAUUUUAGGUAUUUAUAUAUGUAUAUAUACCCUAUUUCAUUAAUCAAUGAAAUGUUUCUUAUUUAAGGGAAUAAAAAAGAAAAGGUGUAUAUAUAUGCACAUACAUAUGUUGUAAGAAAUUAAUCAUUCAUGGAGAAAAAUGAAAUAAUUUACAUGGCAAAAAAAGACCCACAAAAGUAGUUCACCAACAACCAACAAGAAAGGACUUCAAUCCAAAAAAAUAAGACCAAACCGAGCUUUUAAGUACAUGAUUGUUUUUAUCUAAAAUUUAUUUUCCUAUGAAAUGCCAAAUCCAGAGUUUUGGUAAUGCUGAAGAUACGCAACACAUAUAUCAAUCACCAUGGCAACGGCAAUGAAAUUGCAAAACUCAUAAGAGCAGGAAGAAACUAAAACUUUAUGUAAAUUUUGUUACCACUUACCAAACUUAGAAACUUCUCACGUUUAUCCAUCAGAGGUCAGAGCUAAUGGAAAUCAUUCAAACUUUAUUAUCUUUUUAUAAUAUUGACAUUUUCCCUGUCCACUUUUCCUUCAAAUCUAUUUACGGAAAAAAAAAACAUUUCUCCAAAUUUUCCGUUUGUUUCAUCAUUUGUUUAAUUACUUUUGUAAGGCAGGAAAAAGGAGCAUUCAGAUUUUAAACAAAACUUUUGCAAGAAAAGACAAGCCAAGUAAAGAACAAGUUGAACAACCAAUUAAUGUGAGUUCUGAAAGAUACAAAGCGGGUAGUAAAAUAAUAUCUGCAUUCAACUACGAGCAGAGAAGAAAUCUUCAAAUUAACAAGACUUACAUGCUUUAAUCCUUCACUCAAAUGGUUCACCUCUUGCGAUAUAUGGCAUUUAAGCGAAUAAACUGAUUCGGCUUCCGAACUUUCCUCUCCACUUUCCUGACAAUGUAUUCUGGCACCAUAAAAUCCCCACCAUCAGCACAUUAACAAGUUAUAAUUUGAAGACCACCAUGUGCAAUUUUGUGUUUUUUCCAGAAAAAAAAACAGGAAAGUUAUAUCAAUCAGAAAAACACAGACAAAAAGAGGACAUGGGAGAAUCCAAAAGCAAAGUUAAUUGAGCUAACAAAAGAUUACACGUGAAUACGCCCAUCAAUUUUCCAAGUAUGACCAAUCCAAAAACUAUUACAUGUGAAUACAAGUCUCCCAGGCAUGAAAUUGAUCAUUGUGCAAGUUCAUGAAAACAGUAAGAUGUCUCUCUGCUUGUGGAUAGUAUAAUAUUGAUUUUUAUGGUGGUUCUAGUGCCCUCACCAACACACACUCAACAGUGAUGACAAACUGGUACUUCAAGGUACGCUACAAAAUAAGACACUGAUGACAAACUGGCACUUCUUAUCGAUAGUAUACUAAAUAAAUGUGGAGACAUCUUAACACAUUUCCACUUGUGAUGAAGCAAACAUAAGCCCAUCAAUUUAAGGUCAAUGAAUAGGUGCAGGAGAGAAUGUGAAAGGAAGAAAAAUAACGAUCAAUGUAAACUCUAUUACCACCACUUCAUGAAUUUAAUAUCCGAUGUAUUAAAUAACAAUAGAUGCCUUACCUGCUAACAAGAUCAAUGCCAAAUAGGUUCUUUACAGAAUCGGGGAUUUCACUGCAAGUGAGAAUGACAAAAUUUUCUCAUCAAACUACACACUUCUUCCAUGAAAAAUGAAACAAAAACAAAAAAUCCAAAAUCAGAUGCAGAACAGCAAACAUAUUGAGAAAUCCCUCAGACACGGCCUGAAACUAGAGUGUGAACUAAACUAACCAUGGUUUGAAAACUAUUCAGUUCGUGAGGAAUUUCAAAGUGUGGAUUAGACAAUUACAUUUAUGCAUAUUUUGAGUAGCCAAAUGAAAUUACAGAAAAUCACAAAAAAAAAAAAAAGAUGCAACUACCUGGAACCUGCUGACCUAAGAGACUGAGAUAGAGUGUAUAGAAGUUGUGUCCAACAUUCUUCAGCAUCCUGUUAAAAAAUAAAGAUUUCAAUCAAUACAUUAACUUUAAAGACGUAGUAGAAUCCAAUAAAAAAGUUCAAAAUAUCAGAUACUUGUUGCAUGAAUGUACUAUUCUGCAGCUGGCCAAAUUGAGGAUAUUUUUUCCGUAGCACCUGGGAACCAAACAUGGAACAAUAAACACGUUAUUUCCUAAUCCAGUGAAUUAACAACCGCAAUGACAAAAAAGUUUCAAAAAAUAAGUUAUUACAAAUUCAAAUUCUAAAUUAAUUACAACUGAAUUCCAAUAUCUAAUAACAUAUGAAGAAAUGAAAUGGAAAAGAUACAAAUUGAUUUCGUAAAAUCAACUUUUUACAUGGAGAUCUACAUCCAACAAAGCAUGGCAUUUCAAUGUUAGCAUCUGGCAUCAUCCUCAAGAAGGUUGCCGGAUUGGUCUAGUAAGACGUUUCUAAGAGAAAUGACCAUUAAAUGAAACAUUAAUACCAGUUUUCACCCCAACGUAUGAUAGAAACAAGUGCUUAAACAGGUGAAUUUCAAGAAUUUUGUGAAAGCCACUAACCAUCCAGAACUGCAUAGGUGCUACUGCCUUGACACUUCUAUCAAGCUCACUGAAUAAAUCCCGGGUUGCAAUAGUUAACAUGUGUGAAGUUGGAUCCACAUCACUACGCCCAGCAUUAGAGUACCUGAUCCAAGCCAGAUAUUAUAUUUGUCGCUGCAGGAAGAUUCAUGAAAAUUACAAGUAGAACUCACUUAAUCAAAGCCGACUUAAGCUCAGGAACAGAAUGCAAACACUGUAAAGUUGAAUUCAUGUAACACGUGUUUCCCAAAUUAAACAAGCCAGCACUGUGACCCUGAAACAGCAAGGUUUUGGAUGAAAACCAGGAAUCAUAAAAAAUAGUUCAGCAGAAAAUGUCCAAUAUAACAAAGAACUGAAGAAACAAGAGGAAGAUAUAUAGCAAAAUCAGAAUGAAUAGAUGACAAAAUAUUUAUGCAUAAGCGACAUAUAGGCCUAGGGGUUGGGACCUGUGGCAUCGGGUAGACGGUAGAGGCAACCUUCACUCAUGUGUAUUUGUUGUGGAGAUCCUUAUCUAAUAAAGACACUGGAUAGUGCAAGCUUUUUUCGGAUUCCUUCAGGUAUCAUUUGUAUGAUUGGCACACUCUAAUUAUGGCUAUGCACAAGCACCCAAUGACUUCCCUUAAAGCUAACACUGGCCUCCCUGCUUUUUGCUUUUAAUUUUUUGGUGGUUCUUCGAUGCUGAGAAGCCCUUGUGUUCCUUGUUCCCUCAUCUUUACCACCUAUUGGAUAAGAGAUCACACUUGGUGGCCUUUAUUUUGCCUUUCUCUGAUAGUUCUUCUUACUUGCCUUUGGUUUUCAUCACGUGCUUUCUGAUUGUGACGCCUUUAAGGUUGUCAGGUUUAUCUUCUCCAUUAUUUCUAAUCAGGUUCCGAGAGUGGGGAGAAGGGAUCCUAGAUCUUGACUCUUUGAGCCCUUCGAGGGACUUUCCAGUAGGUUUUUUCCCCUGGUUUUUUUGUAACCCUUCUCCUUGCAGUUGGGUCUUUGAUUUUCUUCUCUACAGAAAGUUAAAAUUUAUAGGAAAGUGAAUCUUUUUGCCCAGAAAGUUUUACAUGGAGAGUGAUUACCCAAGAUUGUAUUCAAAGACUUUCCCCAAUGGUGUUACAACCUCAAUGGCGUCCUUCAUAGGAGAUAGGAAAAGGAUCUUGACCAUUUGCUUUGGGAUUGCGAGUUUGUGACGACAUGAUGGAACAUACUCUUUAGAAUCUCUUAGGUUGCUGUUCGAUGUUAGAGUAGGUGCUAUUGGAUCCAUCCUUUUCACGGUAAAGAAAGGGUUCUUUGGCCCUUUUUCUUUUGCUGUGAGACAUCUGGCUGGAGAGGAAUGGUAAUAUUUUUCAUGGUGUUUGGUGGUUUAGCUUAGAAUAACUCUUUUGGGUUAAAGCCUAUUUCUGCAACGGGGCAUGGGGCUUUUUGUUUUUGCCUUCUUAGGCUUGUCCUUCUGCAUUGCCUUUGUUUAUCCUUUCUUCUAUCUCAAAAAAAGUUUGGUUUCUAAUAGAAAAAGAAAAAUAUGCUGGGAAUAUACUUGCUGUGAGAAUCUUGGUUAGUUUUCAUUGUUUACACUCUUAAGAUGCAACAAGGACUUGAACCAUGACUUCACAGUAAGCAUAAACCACCCUACCCACAAUGCUCACUAUAGUAACUGUUUUCCUCGUUCACUCAAUUUUACCUACACAAAAUUUGAAUCUUUUGCCUCCCAUUUUCCAUCCUUUAACUUACCAUACUGGAUGAAGAAUAAAACAAGAGUAUCUGCAGUGGUUUCAUUAUAGGGUACUAAGUUUGCCAAUAUCCAUAACAAUCUCAUUAUUUUAUUGUUAUGAUUGAGAGCUUUACUUCCAGAGUUUUGUUUUAUUGUUUUAGAUGAUCUAUCAAGUUCCUUUUCCCUUGAGGUCUUGGUUCCUUCAUAUUCUAUAAUACUUGCAUAUAUUUAAACUAAACUUCAACAUUUGCUUAUAAAAGAAAAACCUCAUGAUUCAAUUAUGAUGGGAAACACAUAAGUAAAAUGAUAAUCAGUGGCAACAGGUCAGGCAUCAAUGGUAGAUAUGACUCAUAAGCAUGGACCAAAAAGAUGUCAACUAAGCCAGUUACAAUUAUAACAGAAAAAAUAUGUCAAAUUAAUGGAAUAAGACAAGCGUGACCUUAGAUAAAAGAGAUGUAAGCAUCAAAGGUAAAAGGUGGUAUCCUAAGUACACAAUACUAAUAGUCCAACAUCUGGAAACAAACUUACCUUCAAAAAUAUUUUUCAGUUAUUGUCUACAAUGAUCAAAUUAAUUAUAUCAACUAAAGAAAACUAUCGACCUAAUAUUAUCACUAUCAGAUGAGGACAUGAAUGCCAUUAUCUGACAAAAUCCUGACACUUACAAAACAUAAUAAAAACCUUACCACUGCAAUAACUUGUUCAUCUUCAGGAAGAUCUUCUAUAAAGACAGGGCCCUUUUCUGGGGCCUUAACAAUCUCAUCUGCUGUCCCCAUCAUCAUUAAUUUUUGACCCUACAAAAAAAGAAGCAUGUAAAUGGAACAACAUGCUUGGAGCCACAAAAAUCAAUCCGAAAGUUAUAUAACAUUACUCAUCAGUUUACCUCUUUUACUCCAACCGUUGACCAAUCUGCAUCAUCCUGCUCAGUAAGAGAGUAAAAAGGAUGUCAGAUAUUAGUAAUCACUUGGGAAAAGCUUAAAGUUCGAUCAGAAGUAAGAAAGAAGACAUGGUUAUUGUUGGUAAUGAAUGAGAAUCAAGAACGAAUAGUUCAACAACAAAUUCACCAUCCUCAAAAGAAACAUAGAGAGAUGUCAAGUAACCUUCAGUAUACCACCCUUAACCAUAAUCUUCUGCCUUUCAGGAGGCACACCGGUGAGUUCAAACAACUGGCCUUUGAAAACAUACGGGGGCAGACUGGUAUCAAUUUCAACAUCACGGAACAGCUCUUUUUGCCACUUUACACUCACUAUAAGAUAUCAAAAUCCAUUUGUCAGAAAAUAAAAUAAUUCCCGCAAGAGUAAGAACUAGAUUAAGUUAAUGAAUUCCACAACUUCUAAUCGGUUCUUCCACCCAAACUCAAGUUACUAUUCAACAUUUGCCACUUCGACAAAUUUAAAAUUGUAACUGCUUACCACGACAUGAUAACACAAUAAACUAAAGUUAGCAGAGAUGGGCUUUAGCAAAAUCAUAUCUUUCCUUUAACCAUAACCACAAGCUACAUCCAGCCACAAACCCAGAUUAAAAAAGAAAAGCGUACAUCAGUAACUAAGAUCCUGCCCAUUGAUAAUUACGAUGUAUGAAAGGGGUGAUCUCAAAUGAGAAGUAAUGGCGAUAGAAAAACGAGGCAUUGGCAAUUGCCCCAGAAAAAAAAAAAGACAAAGAAAAAAAAGCAAUAAACAAUUGACAAGGAGCUUAAUGCUAAGAGGGGAAGAUGAAAAUGGGAAUUGUCCCAGAUCAUUGUCCGCAAGAAGAUCGGCAAAUCUGGGGUGAUUAAGAAGAAUAAAUGAAAGAAAGUAAAAGAGAAAGAAGAAGAAGUGAAAGAGAGAAGGUAGUGUUCGAACCUUUAAUCAUGAUUAGAGAGCUCCCGAGAGAGGUAGAAGAAUGGGCGAAGAGGUUGAAGAAGAAGAAGAAGAAGAAGAAGAAGAAGAGUUGUCUUGGAGAGGCGGUAAAGCGGAGCUCUGAAUUUCUUGCUGAUUCAACAAGCACAACAAUUUGCCUCCCAAUUCCAUUCUUAUAUAAAGAUAGGUUCACAUGUUUUCUCUUAUCAAUUAUGGGUCCAAUCUACACAUUUAAAACCUUAAAUUAAAAUUACAUUCCAAACUUUAGUCCUAAACUUCUGAAGUUUCUCUUUAUUCAGUUUAAAUUUUUAAGGCACUUUAGUAAGUUUUAUACAUUUACUUGAGAGCAUCAAAUUUAAAAUCAUAUCAAUUUAUUUGAAUUUUUUUUUUAUGUAAAAUUACCUAAUAGUCAUUAUUAAGUGUUUGAAAGUUCAUUGACUCACAAUACAUAAACUUAGACUAAACUAUACCAGGAGGCACUAACUAUACAAUUUCCUUUUUGUUUCAAUAAAUGUGAUAUUGGAUGAAUAGAAAAAUAAUCAUAAUUACUUAUCAAUAACUAUAUACCACUAAAUACCUUAAAAGGCCGAGGAAUGAAAAAAAUGAAGAAAAUUUUGAAUAAUAGUUGAUAGGAAGACAUCUAUUAGUUAGAAAGUGUAAACUCUUAAGUUAUAGUUUUAAGAAGAAAAAGAAUUAAUUUCUUAUAUACAAUUUGCUAGCUCAAUCAAAUUUCAAAUAUUAUAUUUAAAAAAUCUUAACCAUAAUUUAUGAGGCAUUGGAAUGGUUUUCUAGAAUAAUCAUUAAAAAAGACCAUAAAAUACUCUAACAAAGCUACCUUAGAAUAAGCUUCUUAUAUUUUGAUUGCAAGUACUUUUGUUGCAAUCAUAUAUUGAGUGGGGGGGAAAGGUGAAGUUAUACUUUAUGUAAAGCCUCAGUAUUGAACAUAACCAUUGUCAUUUUAGAUCACUUUCUCAUUUGUCUUGUUUUGAAAAUGUAGUUAUCAUUGGUUCGCUGUUGCCUCCUAUGUGAAGAAAGGACAUUUCUUCAUCAGAAAGGAUUUGCAAAGUAGUGAUAAAUUUGGCAUUAUGUUUUUCAAUAAGAAUCUUUCAUAAAUAGUAAAUGUAAGAAAGAGAGAAUAUGGAAACAAAAUAUAUCACUAAUUAAUUGGCUUGCCACCACUAGCUUUCUUUCUAACCAAAACAAGAAAAUACGAAUUUCCAACUUCCAAGAUCAUCAGUCAUCUCAUUUCAUCGUAACUGAAUAGAACAAAAAGUUGUAUAAAUGGAAAAAUUGUCACCCUCGUUCCAACUAAGAUUACAAGCCAAAAUUUGAUAUCCAUUCUUGUAAUGAAGCAAAUAAACUGAUAAAUAACUAAGGCCUUCUAGAUGAGUGAGAGGAUGAAUCUGAUUUCUCGGCUAGAUAGUGCUCAAGCAUGUCUUCCUCGUCAUCAUCUGCAAUUCAAGCAAUGCAAAGGUUUGGAAUGGGUUAAUGCUAACAACUGAACAAUUUAGUAUGUAUUAUUAUUAAGAUGGGAGGGGGAGCACCUUCAAAAUCAUCCUCAUCGAAAUCAAUAUCUUCCUCGUCAUCUUCGUCAGAUCCUUCAGUAACUGGAGCUGCACCUUUCUGUUAAAAAAGUGAGCAAUAUGUUAAGUUGAAUGAAGCAGAAACUCCAGCUAACUGGAGAUUCGACAUUAUACCAACUGUAUCAUAGGAUGAAAUAGCCAGUUGAUCAGUCUUUCUCUUCUAGCAAUGACACCGGUGCUUAAAAAGAAAAAUUACCCCAGAAGCUCUUCCGCUCUCAAACCACUGCCUGCCAGCAAGUUUCUUUUCCUUAGGUGCAGUAAGAGCUGAUUCGGGCAUUAUCCUGAAAGAAGUUCAAAUUUAUUAUCAACAAACAAAAUUGUUGAUAGGAAUGGUAUUAGAGAGAUAUUGAGGUACAUUGGUAAACAGUUAAGUAGUUUUUUGGGGAAGAUUGGUUAUAAUUUAUAAAUCCCGUGGGUAGGGAAGAACUGUAAACAAUAUUUUGGUGAGGCGAUUAGAGCUUGAGAGUGAUCGCAAGAUUGGGAGGGUCAAGUUGAAACAAGGCUCUUCAAUAAUGAAAUGAAAAGAGACUAAAGCUCAAAUUUUUUAUAAGUCAAUACAUUCAGGUCCCCUAUCAAAUAUCUGACUUCUUUGAAACUGGAAAGAUAGAAUAUAAAUAUGCUGAUCAAAUGUCAAGUACAAAACGGAAGAAAAAAACUAGGGACCAUUAAAUCUCGAGACUAGGCAAAUUACAAAAGAAAAGCUCUAUAAUUAGACAAAACCAAAAGAAGAGAAGAAUAUUUAAAGCCCUUGUUAUUAGCCACACAGAGACAGACAUAAAAGCUGUCAGCUGCCCCAUUUCAAUUUCCCCAAAGAAUUCCAAAGAACAUCCCAUCUUUACCUAUCGAAAAUCCCAAGGUAUAUCUUAGUCAUUAGCUAACGUAUUAGGUUGGAUUAAUAAUGAAUUUGCCUGGACUAGUGCACAACUUUUUGUAGCCUGGUUGGGAUAAGGACUAGUAAUAAGUACAUAUCAAAGCUCUAUUGCUAAUCAUUUAGAUUGUUUUAUACGUAGUGUGAACCAGAAGUUCAGUAGUUAUGCAGGUUUGAAGAUUAGUUUUUGUGAUUUUCUUUCUCUCUUAUUCUCAACAACCAGAGCCCUUUUGGUAAUUUUUAAGUUUUUUGUAAAUAGGACUGUCCCAUUCUCCUUGUUUGCAUUUGUAAAUAGGACUGUCCCAUUCUCCUUGUUUUCAUUUGUAAAGCUUAGUUACAACUAACCUUAGCGUUUUCUUUUUAGGGCAGGAACGAUCCACAAAAUUGGGCCUCUGUAUGUUAGUGUUGUGCUAAGAACCAAAAGUCUCUUGAGGCAUUUUAGGAGUGCCAACCAUAAAACAUUUAAGGAGCCACUCACAAUCUUCACAAGGGGAUCCAGCAACAAUCAAGAUAAUAAAAAGGUGGUCCAAGUCCUCUGUUUGGUGCUCCACCAAAAACGCAUAUAAAGCAGCUUCGAAAGACCUUCAUAUGCCCUUUCUGCUGCAUAUUGUUUUGCUCAGAGUUCCCACAGGUAUCUGGCAAAUAACAACACGCUCUACGAAUGACAACACUCUCUCUCCUCCAAUAAAGAAUCCUGGAGGCAUCAUAGCCAUUUGAGUUUCUUCUCAGAAGAAUUAGUCUUCGAAAGACAGACUUAGUAAGGUCCUUGCCAUCUACAAACUGCGAGUUAUAUUGGCACAUCUAAAGUUAACACCCUGUGGAUUGCCUAAAAAAGUCAAAUGAGAUCUGCUUAUAAAAAACCUCCACGGUUUCCAGUAACCAUCAUCUGACAUCCAGUCCAUAGAAGUGAAGCUCCCUCCAUUAGAACAUUAGACAGAACAAUCCACUUCGUUGCCAUAUCAUCGAGAUCCACUCCUUCACUACAUUAACAUUGAGACUUGUUGGUGAUAUAUAAUUAAAUUUGCCUUCAACCACCAGCUUAAGCUUUUGGAUGAAUCGGUGGUUUAAUAAGACUCAUCCAUCCAAGAAAGGUAUUGUACAACUUCAACCAUAUUGUUGGGAUAGUCAUCAGGUACACUACUAGCAAAACCCGAGACUACUCUAACGGCCUAACCUUUACAAGGACAACAAUGGUCGCACUUUUGUUGUUGUAUAUAUAUAUUGGGUGGGGGGCGGGGGAGCAAAAGAAAAAUAAAUAAAUUACUUGGCUCGUUCCAGUGCAAUCUCUGCUUCAAAUCUUUCCCUCCAUGCUAAAAAUGUGUCAAGGGUGACAGGUUCUCCAUGUGGUACAAUUACCUGUGAGAUCAAAGAAGCAGAAUGUAAAUGAGUUCAUUCAAUUUCAAGCAAUGUUCAACAGUCAAGUAUUUUAAAAGAUAGUCUAACAUAGACUAACAUAUGUCAUCGAGUCAAGAAUGUAACAUAAAUAAACAAAUUUUGAAGGAUGGUUCUUUUUUUUUAUUCCUAUGCUAUGGGACAUUUGGCCUCAGAAGAACAUCAGAA
rnacentral:lncRNA from 1 species